rnacentral:rRNA from 1 species
AGUGAACGCUGGCGGUAGGCCUAACACAUGCAAGUCGAACGGCAGCACAGUAAGAGCUUGCUCUUACGGGUGGCGAGUGGCGGACGGGUGAGGAAUACAUCGGAAUCUACUUUUUCGUGGGGGAUAACGUAGGGAAACUUACGCUAAUACCGCAUACGACCUACGGGUGAAAGCAGGGGAUCUUCGGACCUUGCGCGAUUGAAUGAGCCGAUGUCGGAUUAGCUAGUUGGCGGGGUAAAGGCCCACCAAGGCGACGAUCCGUAGCUGGUCUGAGAGGAUGAUCAGCCACACGGGAACUGCGACCAAGUCCAGACUCCUACUGGAGGCAGCAGUGGGGAAUAUUGGACAAUGGGCUCAAGCCUGAUCCAGCCAUAGCGCGUGGGUGAAGAAGGCCUUCGGGUUGUAAAGCCCUUUUGUUGGGAAAGAAAAGCAGCAGGUUAAUACCCCGCUGUUCUGACGGUACCCAAAGAAUAAGCACCGGCUAACUUCGUG